AGUGAAGCGGCAACAGCUCAAAUUUGAAAUCUGGCCCUCGGGUCCGAGUUGUAAUUUGUAGAGGAUGCUUUUGGUGCGGUGCCUUCCGAGUUCCCUGGAACGGGACGCCAUAGAGGGUGAGAGCCCCGUCUGGUUGGACGCCAAUCCUCUGUAAAGCUCCUUCGACGAGUCGAGUAGUUUGGGAAUGCUGCUCUAAAUGGGAGGUAUAUGUCUUCUAAAGCUAAAUACCGGCCAGAGACCGAUAGCGCACAAGUAGAGUGAUCGAAAGAUGAAAAGCACUUUGAAAAGAGAGUUAAAAAGCACGUGAAAUUGUUGAAAGGGAAGCGCUUAUGACCAGACUUGGGCCUGGCCGAUCAUCUGGCGUUCUCGCCAGUGCACUCGGCCGGCCCAGGCCAGCAUCAGUUCGCCGCGGGGGAUAAAGGCUUUGGGAACGUGGCUCCCCCGGGAGUGUUAUAGCCCACUGCGCAAUACCCUGUAGCGGACUGAGGUACGCGUUCUGCAUGGAUGCUGGCGUAAUGGUCAUCAGUGACCCGUCUUGAAACACGGACCAAGGAGUCGUCUUCGUAUGCGAGUGUUCGGGUGUCAAACCCCUACGCGUAAUGAAAGUGAACGCAGGUGAGAGCUUCGGCGCAUCAUCGACCGAUCCUGAUGUUCUCGGAUGGAUUUGAGUAAGAGCAUACGGGGCCGGACCCGAAAGAAGGUGAACUAUGCCUGUGUAGGGUGAAGCCAGAGGAAACUCUGGUGGAGGCUCGCAGCGGUUCUGACGUGCAAAUCGAUCGUCAAACAUGGGCAUGGGGGCGAAAGACUAAUCGAACCUUCUAGUAGCU
rnacentral:rRNA from 1 species